GCUGGUAACGCGUCCACAACCCAGCUCGCGCUCCAGCGCCCGCGCGCCCGCCCCACCCGCCCUGCGCGCGCGCGCCUUACGGGACAGGAGGGACGGUUGGUGUUUGCGCCAACGGUCCGGGGACACAAGCCACGCCGGGUUACCAACAUGACACACAGCAAUGGGAAGAGGAGAGCACUGCAGAUCAGCUCCAGCCCACCACUGCGGGGGUUUCCUCUUAACACUAUACCUACUCUCCACAGGGGGAGCCUAGAGUCUUAACCACUGGACCACCAGGGAAGUCCCAGGAGCUCUUCUAAAGUAAUAUUUAACUCACACAGCUCCAACCUACUUGAUUUUGCCAGGGAAUUGAAGCAUUUAUAAACUUGUUUCUCUGCUUACCGCCUCCCGCCCCGGGACAACACGUAAGGAGACGAGGUAGGAUGUUUAUCUUUAUUAACAGGAGAUUUGACUAAAUAAGAGCCUUUACUUUGUUACCUGCUGCCAAAUAAAAGUGAAGAUCUCAUCA
rnacentral:lncRNA from 2 species